AUCUAUUAUGCAUCGUUCCUCGUAGACCACAGUAUAAGAAGUGGACGAUAGUUUAGACAUCUUACCGAAGUUUUGUGCGCUAAAAUUUACGAAUACAGAUUUUGAUAUCUGUCGUAAAAAUGAGCUUAACAAUUCUACCUACGCUAGCUGCAGUGCUGUUCGUCAGUUACAAUCUUGGCGAUGUUCUAGCUUUGAGUGGGCCGAACGUUUGUACACGGGUAGCAGAUAGACGCGUACAGAGGCGGAUCUGUAUGUACCGAUGGUGGUCUAGGUGCAUGUGGUAUCGAACGAUAAGCGUGAGUCAGUACUACGUUCAACAAGAAUGCUGUUUUGGAUGGAGUCAAAGAGGCAAUCACUGCGAUACGCCCAUUUGCAGACCGAAUUGUUUCAACGGAGGAACCUGCAAUUCUCCAAACAAAUGCACCUGCCUUGAUGGCUAUACUGGCGGCCUGUGUGAAAAUCGUAAACCGUGAACUAACUAUGAACUAACUUCAAACUAAUAUCUUGUGGUAACUUGCCUAAGGUCGGUGGUUUAUCCCUAGUUUUCUCACCCUUAAAUCUGCCCACCACCCUAAAAAAUAAAGAUUAUGGAGUUAAAACAGCUAUGAAAUAAACAAAUAAAUUAAAUUAAUCCAUCAGAAGCCUUCA